rnacentral:rRNA from 1 species
GACAGAGGAUGCAAGCGUUAUCCGGAAUGAUUGGGCGUAAAGCGUCUGUAGGUGGCUUUUCAAGUCCGCCGUCAAAUCCCAGGGCUCAACCCUGGACAGGCGGUGGAAACUACCAAGCUGGAGUACGGUAGGGGCAGAGGGAAUUUCCGGUGGAGCGGUGAAAUGCGUAGAGAUCGGGAAGAACAUCGGUGGCGAAGGCGGCCUGCUGGGCUCUUGCUGACACUGAUGCGCGACAGCGUGGGGAGCAAACAGG